AGGCUACUUCGCUUUAGAAUUCUUUGCCCCGUGGAAAACAAUAGUAAAGGAAUAUUUACAUGUUUAUUGUAACGAUCGUAAUACCGUAUACUAUUGGCAGAUUAAAAUGGUCAAGGUAUUUCUUGGACAAAGUUAUUAUGAGGUUAAAAUAUACCUGGAAGAAGUCGCGUAUUUCGAUGAAAGGAUCGAAGGAAGGUUCGAGAGAAAGAUCGAGGAAUCACAAAGCAAAGGAGGUUGCUGCAUUGCACCGAGCAUUACGAGCCAAUCGCAAGCGGUUACGGGUUCCGAGAAUAAAAGCAGCGAGAUUUGCUACGCGAAUUCCAAAUGAACGAGUACCAAUGUUUUAUUACCUGUGGCUUUUUAUAGAGCAAACCGACCAGAAUAUAUAAUUCCCUCUCUUCGAAUUUCUCUACGUUGGUUAUCUCUCUCUAUAAAGACAAACGAUAAAACAAAUCUACACCGCGAUACGACCCUAACAGUAAUUCGAAGAUAGAGUAUCCAAAUCAUAUUCAAAAACCAAAAACUAAAGAGAUACAAGAAAUAAUAUUUCGCAAGGUUCCCCAUAACUUUGUUCGCUCGAGCUAUCUGUGAACGAAUAAAAUCAGUAACAUCGGAGAAACAAGAAAGAAAAAGAAGAAUAAAGGGAAAACGAAAAGUCACGUUCGUUUCUUUUCCAGGGCUUUUUAUUUUCAACGAAACAGGCUUUCGAUGGAGAAAGUUCAAGGCGGAUAGAUAGCGUGUCCGUCGAACAUCACGCGCGCGCGCGCGCGCGUGUGCACGAUUCAGUCCCGGUCAUUGCACGCCUCCCUACGGAUCCCGAUUUUUCGGUUUUCGUCCUUUUUUUCUUACGGAGGCCCUCUUCCUCUUCUUUUCGUCUCCCUUUGUGCUGUUUAAUCCUCAGCCCCCCGUCCCGCUGCUCUUUCGCUUCCUUGCACCGGCUGUCCUCGUCCCUCCGCCGCUUCGCCGCCGACGAAACUGCAUCGCGAUAUUUUAUUGGUUUUAUACGCGGGAACAUCUGGCGCUCGGACAAAGGGAACUGGCCCUCAGGAAAUCUUCAGGAACGGAGGGUGGUUUUCGUUAGCCUGGUCGGCUCUAUUUACUUAUACCUAGUGACGUAGAAUGUUUGUAAACAAUGGCUUGGACGCAGCCGUGGAUCGCCGAUCGACGCCAUCGUGGAUUAGGCCGCUGUUCCUGUCCAUUGAGGGUGGAUAUCUGGAGCGUCCAAUGGUCGACUUGAUACGUUUCUGUGGAAAGUACGAAGACGUUUUUGAAUCAUCGUGCGUGCGACGAAAGGUUCUGAUGAAAGGUUAUGGAAUGUUAACAACGCGACGGAAAGAUAGAGAGAUUCUUGGAGAAUUGGCUUGCUGGCUUAAGGUUUGCUAUACGGAAUAACAGGACUUUCACGAUGGGCAAUCUAGGAUCUGCAUUCUCCACUCUUAAGAAUGACCCUUGAAAGGGAGACCCGAGGCGAUUUGCAUACCAGGAUUUAUUGGCUACGUCGGAGCGCCGAUGAUAAUGUGAUCCGUUCGAAUUUACCGAACCUCAGCGUUGUGCCAGCUUUCUCCGUUUUGUAACAUAACGUAGGAUGGAUCCUUACGGGACGAAGAAAAACAACUUGCAAGAGAGAAUUCUUAUCUAUCAAAGGAAAAAGCGCAGU